AGGAAUAUACAAUUACUUUAUGGUUUCCGUGUUUGGAUGGCCUGAUCCAAACACGCGGGAAUGUUGCGAGAGUUAAGAAAAGCGAGCGAAACACGAGCCGAAGGCGAGUGAUUUUGCUCGCUUUUCUUAACUCGAGCAACUUUCCCAAGUGUUUGGCUCAGGCCAUCCAAAUACGGAAACCAUAAAGUAAUUGUUUUAUAAAAUAACAACAACACGAUAGUCUCCGUGUUUGGAUGGCCUGAUCCAAACACGGGUUUUGACCAA